rnacentral:rRNA from 1 species
UUCCAGCUCCAAUAGCGUAUAUUAAAGUUGUUGCAGUUAAAAAGCUCGUAGUUGGAUUUCUGGGAGGGUGCCAAUGUCCGCUUGUUGCGUGUGCAGCGGCGCCCUUCCAUCCUUCUGUUAACGUUUCUUGGUAUUAACUUACUGGUUGCGGGCUCAGAUAUUUACCUUGAGAAAAUUAGAGUGUUUAAGGCAGGCUUGUGCCCGAAUACAUUAGCAUGGAAUAAUAGAAUAGAGCUUUGGUCUCCUUUGUUGGGUUUGAGGGACUAGAGUAAUGAUUAAUAGGGACAGUUGGGGGCAUUAGUAUUUAAUUGUCAGAGGUGAAAUUCUCGGAUUUGUUAAAGACUAACUUAUGCGAAAGCAUUUGCCAAGGAUGUUUUCAUU